rnacentral:rRNA from 1 species
GCUUAACACAUGCAAGUCGAACGGGAAACCUUUUAUUGAAGCUUCGGCAGAUUUAGCUGGUUUCUAGUGGCGGACGGGUGAGUAACGCGUGGGUAACCUGCCUUAUACAGGGGGAUAACAGUCAGAAAUGACUGCUAAUACCGCAUAAGCGCACAGGGCCGCAUGGCCCGGUGUGAAAAACUCCGGUGGUAUAAGAUGGACCCGCGUUGGAUUAGCUUGUUGGUGGGGUAACGGCCCACCAAGGCGACGAUCCAUAGCCGGCCUGAGAGGGUGAACGGCCACAUUGGGACUGAGACACGGCCCAGACUCCUACGGGAGGCAGCAGUGGGGAAUAUUGCACAAUGGGGGAAACCCUGAUACAGCGACGCCACGUGAAGGAAGAAGUAUCUCGGUAUGUAAACUUCUAUCAGCAGGGAAGAUAGUGACGGUACCUGACUAAGAAGCCCCGGCUAACUACGUGCCAGCAGCCGCGGUAAUACGUAGGGGGCAAGCGUUAUCCGGAUUUACUGGGUGUAAAGGGAGCGUAGACGGUGUGGCAAGUCUGAUGUGAAAGGCAUGGGCUCAACCUGUGGACUGCAUUGGAAACUGUCAUACUUGAGUGCCGGAGGGGUAAGCGGAAUUCCUAGUGUAGCGGUGAAAUGCGUAGAUAUUAGGAGGAACACCAGUGGCGAAGGCGGCUUACUGGACGGUAACUGACGUUGAGGCUCGAAAGCGUGGGGAGCAAACAGG